rnacentral:lncRNA from 1 species
UGAGAUCAGAAACUCCUAAACUCCAGACCCCGGGAGGCCAUGCCUGCUGCCACCCUCUCCCAGCAGCCCCUCUCACAUCCCCCUCGACCGUCAGUCUUUCGGGGUUCGGCGGCCUUGUUACCGUGUGGACUUCCGCUCGGGGUACUCUCCCUCCCCGUGUUCUCACCUCAGCUUGACCUUAGGCAAAAGCUUGCUCCCUCUUUCAGGUCAAAACACGACUUUCCUUGGCACACCUUGCCUGGCAGCCCCACCCCCUGCUGGGCGUCCAUCCCUGGGAUCCAUUUAGACACGAUUCACAUCUCACAUUUAGCACCUGCCACAGGCACCCCUUUGUAUAAAAAUGGGGUUGAGUGUGUGUGUGUGUGUGUGUGUGUGCCCCUGUGUCGUGGCUUCCCCGACACCUCAUGCUGCUCUUACAGAGGGGACCAAGUCUCACUGGUCUUUGCUUCCUCAAUUCCUAGAGCAGGUUUGCAGAGUUGGUGAGAGCCUCUGCGUGCGUGGAGGAGUGACGGUGUGCGCCUCCUGCCUCUUUCCUGCCGGGGAUGGAGCCCUCGGAGGAGACCUCCCAUGGAGUCCUCCUUCCCCUCCCUCCUCUGGGCCUCUAGCCUCCGCCCGCCCUGCCUUCUCUCUUCUCAGUUCUGUCUGGUCCUCACUGGGGGAUCCUGAGACUCACAGUGGGUGUCCAGGUUCAGAGGAGCAGACAGUCCAGGAAGCCCUGGGUCAAGGCGACCCUCUCCCACCGUCCACAAGUGAGUGGCCUGGAAGACUCAGUCCUUCAAAUGCUGUCCCUUCUUCAUCCUCCUCCAGUGGAGUCUGGAGGCCGGGAAGGUUUGGGGAGCAUGGAGGAGGGGAGGGGCCAGUCGCAUGCCCGCCCCGUCCAGGUCAGGUGGUUGUUCACCUCCCUUACGUCUUAUCUGUGCUGGUUUCAUAUUUUGUGGAAGGUUCCUUCCAGGAAUUUUCAAACCCUCCUCUUCUGCUGGCCAUUAGUUCCCCUCAGGCUGGAUCAAACCUUCUUCGUGUAAAAAGCCAGACUUGUGAAAUCCAAAGGCUGCCUGCAGAUCAGUGGUGGAGCUGUGAGGUCUGAGUGAUCCUUAAUCCCGUUCGACAGAUAAAGAGGCAGAGGCUUAUGUUGGCUAAGUGAUCGGUCCAAGUUCACACAGCGGCGGUGUGAAACCAGGGCUCCAACCAGCCGCACACGGUCAGCUGUGAGAAGAGAGUCCCCUCGCUGAGCACAAGGCAAACACGACUGGAUGUUAGCAUUGGCCUAGGACGCAGUUUCUUGGUGUUUGGACCUUGAAGCCAUUUUGAAAUUGCUGCUACCAAUAUUAGGUAUUAGUGUUGAUUUUCUGUGCCAGUUCUGUUAAAUCAUUCUGGCAUUCUUAUGGAUUUUCCUGGAAUAUUCUAAAGUUUGUACUUUUCAGAAUAUUGAUCGGGGUUUUAUGACAAUUGUAAUAUAUUUUUUAUUUCUCUUUUUUAAAACCAG